rnacentral:rRNA from 1 species
GACGUAGGGGGCGAGCGUUGUCCGGAUUUAUUGGGCGUAAAGAGCGCGUAGGCGGUCCGGAAAGUCGGAUGUGAAAACCCGGGGCUCAACCCCGGGCCUGCAUCCGAUACUCCCGGACUGGAGGCAGGUAGGGGAGAUCGGAAUUCCUGGUGUAGCGGUGAAAUGCGCAGAUAUCAGGAGGAGCACCGGUGGCGAAGGCGGAUCUCUGGGCCUGUCCUGACGCUGAGGCGCGAAAGCUAGGGGAGCGAACAGG